CAAAUUAGAGCUUGUUAAAGUAUUUCAUUUACAUUGAAAAGAGAUUAUAUUAUAAUUAAUUUGA
rnacentral:tRNA from 2 species